rnacentral:rRNA from 1 species
ACGUACACUCCUGCGGGAGGCAGCAGUGGGGAAUUUUGGACAAUGGGCGAAAGCCUGAUCCAGCAAUGCCGCGUGCAGGAUGAAGGCCUUCGGGUUGUAAACUGCUUUUGUACGGAACGAAAAAGCUCCUUCUAAUACAGGGGGCCCAUGACGGUACCGUAAGAAUAAGCACCGGCUAACUACGUGCCAGCAGCCGCGGUAAUACGUAGGGUGCGAGCGUUAAUCGGAAUUACUGGGCGUAAAGCGUGCGCAGGCGGUUAUGUAAGACAGAUGUGAAAUCCCCGGGCUCAACCUGGGAACUGCAUUUGUGACUGCAUGGCUAGAGUACGGUAGAGAGGGAUGUAAUUCCGCGUGUAGCAGUGAAAUGCGUAGAUAUGCGGAGGAACACCGAUGGCGAAGGCAAUCCCCUGGACCUGUACUGACGCUCAUGCACGAAAGCGUGGGGAGCAAACAGGAUUAGAAACCCUAGUAGUCCCAUG